rnacentral:rRNA from 1 species
GAAUUCGCCCUUAGAGUUUGAUCCUGGCUCAGGACGAACGCUGGCGGCGCGCCUAACACAUGCAAGUCGAACGAGCGAGAGAGAGCUUGCUUUCUUGAGCGAGUGGCGAACGGGUGAGUAACGCGUGAGGAACCUGCCUCAAAGAGGGGGACAACAGUUGGAAACGACUGCUAAUACCGCAUAAGCCCACGGCUCGGCAUCGAGCAGAGGGAAAAGGAGCAAUCCGCUUUGAGAUGGCCUCGCGUCCGAUUAGCUGGUUGGUGAGGUAACGGCCCACCAAGGCGACGAUCGGUAGCCGGACUGAGAGGUUGAACGGCCACAUUGGGACUGAGACACGGCCCAGACUCCUACGGGAGGCAGCAGUGGGGAAUAUUGCACAAUGGGGGAAACCCUGAUGCAGCGACGCCGCGUGGAGGAAGAAGGUCUUCGGAUUGUAAACUCCUGUUGUUGAGGAAGAUAAUGACGGUACUCAACAAGGAAGUGACGGCUAACUACGUGCCAGCAGCCGCGGUAAAACGUAGGUCACAAGCGUUGUCCGGAAUUACUGGGUGUAAAGGGAGCGCAGGCGGGAAGACAAGUUGGAAGUGAAAUCCAUGGGCUCAACCCAUGAACUGCUUUCAAAACUGUUUUUCUUGAGUAGUGCAGAGGUAGGCGGAAUUCCCGGUGUAGCGGUGGAAUGCGUAGAUAUCGGGAGGAACACCAGUGGCGAAGGCGGCCUACUGGGCACCAACUGACGCUGAGGCUCGAAAGUGUGGGUAGCAAACAGGAUUAGAUACCCUGGUAGUCCACACUGUAAACGAUGAUUACUAGGUGUUGGAGGAUUGACCCCUUCAGUGCCGCAGUUAACACAAUAAGUAAUCCACCUGGGGAGUACGACCGCAAGGUUGAAACUCAAAGGAAUUGACGGGGGCCCGCACAAGCAGUGGAGUAUGUGGUUUAAUUCGACGCAACGCGAAGAACCUUACCAAGUCUUGACAUCCUGCGACGGUGCUGGAAACAGUACUUUCCUUCGGGACGCAGAGACAGGUGGUGCAUGGUUGUCGUCAGCUCGUGUCGUGAGAUGUUGGGUUAAGUCCCGCAACGAGCGCAACCCUUAUGGUCAGUUACUACGCAAGGGGACUCUGGCCAGACUGCCGUUGACAAAACGGAGGAAGGUGGGGAUGACGUCAAAUCAUCAUGCCCUUUAUGACUUGGGCUACACACGUACUACAAUGGCGUUAAACAAAGAGAAGCAAGACCGCGAGGUGGAGCAAAACUCAGAAACAACGUCCCAGUUCGGACUGCAGGCUGCAACUCGCCUGCACGAAGUCGGAAUUGCUAGUAAUCGCAGAUCAGCAUGCUGCGGUGAAUACGUUCCCGGGCCUUGUACACACCGCCCGUCA